CCAUUUCUCUUGCUCGGCCAUACACGGAGGGAGGAGGUACUCCUUUACUCCUGUAUUUACUUUUUGCUCAGACUUGACAUAAGAAAUACUACUUAUUAGUUGCCUAUACUACUAAUUACCCUGUCAAGGUCCUGUAGCAUGCAAUGAACCACAUUAAUGUACUCUCUUUUAAACAUUUUUCCAUUUAGAGUGACAACCCCAAGUCUGAAGUGCAAAAUGAGAAAAGAGGAGGUUGAUGGCACAUAACUAUAUGUUUAGAGCAGAAUGGUUUGAGUGUAAUUCGAUGCAGUUUUACUUGCAACAAGUUUCUGUUUUUAAUGCACUGCUCUCGGUUUGCUUUGUACAGCAUCAUAUCUGGUACCAAUUGGAGGUGCUUUUAAGGCAUCUAGUUUAGCUUUCUUGUCCACUUCACCAAUCGCUUUGAAGUUAAAAGCUAGCCUCCAACGAAAUAAUUCCAUUUGUACAUCUUUUAGUGGAUUGCCCUCAUAUGUCAAUCGUUGAGGAUGAACUCUUUAUCUGAAACAUUUUUAGGACCGACAUGCUACUACAACAACAACAGGCCCAGUGUAUUCCCACAGAGUGGGGUCUGGGGAGGGUAAAAUGUACGCAGUCCAUACCGCUACCUCCGAGGAAUUAGAGAGGUUGUUUCUGAUAGACCCCGGGCUCAAGAUAUAGAAUAAUAUACCAAGGUAGCAUAACAAAAAUCAAAGGUAAGAAAUAGUAACACUAGAUAUCCGAGAAAAGGAAAUAAGAGAAAAAAGAACAAACAAAAUAAGAAAUAAGAAAAAUGAAUACCCAUGUAGUAGUAACACACACUCACCGACCAAAGACACCUACCACACCCAACUCUCCUAACACCUAACCAUAACCGACCCAGUCACACUAGCCUUCUACCCUAAUCCGUGACCUCCACACCUUCCUGUCUUGGGUUAUGUCCUCAGUAAGCUAAAACAACUCCAUGUCAUGCCUAAUCACCUCCCUCCAGUAUUUCUUUGGUCUACCUCUACUCCUCCUGAAGCCAUCCAAAGCUAACCUUUCACACCGCCGAACUGGGGCAUCUGUGCCCCUCCUCAUCACAUGUCCAAACCAUCUCAACCUUCCUUCUCGUAUCUUAUCCUCCACCGAAGCCACUCUCACCUUCUCUCGGAUAGUCUCAUUCCGAACUUUAUCCCCUCUAGUCAGGCCACACAUCCAACGCAACAUUCUCAUUUCCGCCACCUUCAAUCUUUGAAUAUGUGAGUUCUUGACUGACCAACACUCCGCUCCAUACAACAUGGCCGGACGGACUGCCACUCUGUAGAAUUUGCCUUUAAGUUUAAGGGGCACCUUCUUAUCACACAACACUCCCGGCCGACGUGCUACUAUAUAUUAUAUAUAUCAAGAAGCUGAACUUCUUAUGUAAUGCUUUUCUACUUUAUGUAAAAUGUGAUGACCUCUCAUCAAUCUUUUUGUCAUAGCUAACAUGUGUCAUCUUAAUGUUUAGAUCGUCGGAUGGGAGUAAACUAUGGAAACAAGCAAUGAAACAGAAAAUAAAACGUACAUUUUCAGUAGGUGGAGACGAAGUCAACUGUGAACUGUUUUGCUAUGCAUAACUGGUAAGGACUCAUCAACCAUUUUUAUUUAGUUUUAAGCCAUUUUACCUCAACUCAACACAUAAAUCUAUCAACUAAGAAUGUAAGACGAUGCCUUUCCAGUUGUUUUGCCAUUGAUAUGUUGGUCUCCGCUUUGGGCCAAGUUUACACGGUUUUUCCCCAAAGUCUUCAUACCAUUGAGAGAUCCUACAUUUUAUAUGUAGUUGCUCAUUCUUUUCAGCUAGCAAUGUGGACUUUUGUUCAUACUUCCAACAAUCUCCCCCUCGAACUAGGUUCCACAUUGCCCAUCACCACGAUUCACGAGAUGUCGUGAUUCAUUGUGUGCUGCCCCUAUUGUCUUGAGUAUUUUAUGACAAUCAAAGCUUGCUACUAGAUUUUUAAGUUCCACGUGGCCAAACAUCACGAUUCACGGGUUGUCGAGAUUCAUUGUAUGUCACCCACAUCGUCCAAAUAUUUUAUGACAAUCGAAGCUCGUAACUAGCUUCUUCUUUUGUGCGCAUCUCCAAGCUCGUAAAGUAAGCAAUUGAACCUUGCCAUCAUCCUCAUCCGCUGAACCUGUGUUAGGCUCAUUGUUAGGCUCCAAAGCCCAAAGACACUCUUACAUGGUGUGAUAUUGUCCUCUUUGAGUCAAGCCUGCGUGACUUUAUCCAACAGGUCUCACACCAUUUAGAGAUAGUAGACCUUUAUAUAUAGCAAUUUGAGACACUUCUUAUUUUCAACUAUUAAUGUGAGACUUCUGUUCAUAUUCCCCAACAGAUUACCAUUUCCUCUGUUUAAAAUCACUUCUACUUGUUAAUAUGUACUCCUUCCGUCCCAUAUUAGGUGGUCAUUUUUCUUUUUACACGCAUGUGAAGAAAUCAUAAAUAAAAAGGUGAUUUUACUAAUUCACCCCUUAAAAACACUUCUCGGGAACUUUACAAACAAGUGUAAUUACUUUCAAAAGGAAUUAAUUGCAAGGAUAAUAUAGAAAGAAGUUUAGGUAAUGCUUUCUUGAUUUAGUAAGGUGGAUAAGUAAUAUGAUACAAUAAUUUUUUAGUAAGAUCAACUAAUAUUGGAUGGAGGAAGUAAUAAGUUCCAUUUUACUCUACUAGGAAAGUAUUAAUGGGAUGUCCCAUUUUGCCUGCUGUACUCUACUAAUACACAUUAAUCCAAUUUUAUGCUAUCGAGAUGUUAGGACAAUUAAAAUUAUACUUCAGCUGUUGUAGCAAACAAUAUUGUCAAAAUCUCUUUGCAAAAUUUGUUAGAUAUAUUUCAUAACGGUGAUGAUUCAAUUAUUCGCUAAAUUGAAUAGGCAAAAGGUCUAAUUUUGCUACUGACUAUUCAAUGCUUGUACAACUUGGCUCUCCCGUUCGAUUUUGGUUGAUUCAUGUCCCUGUUGCCAAGAAGUCAUCUUGUAUUUGAUCUCAUCGUUAAUAAAGCUCCAACAUAAAAUAAAUGAACUUUACGUGCCUAAAUUAUUUGAAUAGAAAGAUUUGACUUUACUUAUCAACUUUUGACUAUAACUUAAAAUCACCUUGGUGUUGGAUGUUAAGGGGAAAACAAGAUUUUUCUUAACCGCAGGGUAGUAUUUGAUCAAAAGUCUAAAAUACGCCGAGCUUGCUCAACUUCAAAUGGCAUACAAAAAUUAAAAGUAAAAAUAAAAAUAAAAAAGGUAUUAUCAUAGACGUCAAUUGGGUACAGUUUCAAAGCAUGAUUAGUUUUUCCCCCGCUUGUAUAACUUACACUCGUAAAUGGCAAUUAUGAUAGGACUUUAAAAUGAUCAAUCAACUAUCUAUUCGAAAUUUCAUAUUCCUUCAUCUAAUAGGCAACCAAAAGAUAGGAAUUGUUAUUAUCAGAAAAUAAUUAUCCUUGUUUAGCGUUUCCUUGAGAGCUCAACCACACCAUAUCCUCUAUCAUACUAGACUCCUCCGUCAAUCUUUACUUAUUUAUAUUGGAUUUAAUAAAGCUUUUAAAAAAUAAUAAAUAUAUAGAUAAUUUUAUACUCCAUUAUUCUUAUAAAUUAUAAGUUAUUAAAAUAUUAAAAAACAAAUAGCAUUUGAUAAGUAAUAAGUUAUUUCCUAGUUUUUUUUUUUUAAUUUAUGUAAAUAAAGUCGAAUAAUUAUUUUUAAUAUUACUGAACAAAAACAUGGACAGAUCGAGUAACAAAAAAAAAAAGGGAAAGAUAAUGGCAUUCAUUCGGAAGUCCAAGUUGGAUGGUUUGGUGGUGUUCUUUUUGUCUCCAUAAUGGGAAACACAAAUUGAUUUGACGGACAAAGAUAAAUACGAUCAUAGGCAAUCAACAUCAAUAACCACAACAACGCGUUUCUACUAAGUACCAGGCAUUGCAAUUCUUUUACUACACUACUUGAGGAACAACAGAUGGCAUUAGGAAAAGCUGUUUUUUUUUUUUAAAUAAAAAAAGGCAUCCGAUAUUUCUAUUAAAUUAAUAUAUUUUAUUUGAUAUGUAUUGAUUAAUUAAAAUUAGAUAGUAAAAGAGCAGGAAAAAAUAAUAUACAUAAAGCACAUGUAAUAUUAUUAGUGUUUGCUCCGUUUCAGAGUAAAUGACCUAACUUUUCUUUCGACAAUAUUUUACUUUCGAUUUAUGAGCUUUGUCUAGGAGGGGGGAGUCACCAAUCAUUGUCAUCAGCUCUUUAUGUUGUUAUUAUUCCUAUAUUAUACUACUUGCUCAAAAAUAAAGUAUAAUUAAUUAUCUAUUUAUCUUGUUUGAUGUUGGUGUAGGCAACAAAAUUUUAUUAAAUUGAAAUCCAUACGAAAUUCGAAUUAUGUUAAAUUCAAAAUAGCUUGGUCCCAAAUAAAUAUUGCGGAUUAAUAUAAUUAGAUUAAUUAUUUAAGUCCAAACAUGUAUGAAUUUAAUUAAAGUCCAAUUUUGAUUAGCCUAGCCAAUUGAUCUAGGCUAUAAAUGAUGAGUCUACUUUGCUAAGCCCAAGAUAUUGUCAUAUUCUAGAGGCCCAAAUAUAUGUCACGUGUCAAACGACGUGACAUGCCCAGUCAAGUGAAAGAAUCAAUAGGUCCAUGCCAUAUGUCAAAAUGAUGCAGCAGGCCUAAUGAAAUCAAAGUCCAUAAAAGGCGCCACGUCACGUAAAUUUGAUUGGACAAAGGAAGUUUAUCUUCGUCACGACUCUUCCCUUUCCACAACUAUAAAUAG
rnacentral:lncRNA from 1 species